rnacentral:miRNA from 1 species
AUUAGAGUUAUGCAGAAGAGAGAGAGCACAAGGCAUGUAAGACGACAGUGAUGUUCCCUAUUUAAUCUCAUAUUUUCUUUCUUUCCUACUAGGUAUUUCCUUGGUCUUUCACUCU